rnacentral:sRNA from 1 species
ACUCAACACUAUUAGUUUAGAAAGGAUGAGUCGUAAUUGUAAAAGCAAGCCAGCUUUGAUUGGAUCCUUGAUCAGUUAGUUAGUCCUAAACCUGUUUAUACGGAGUUU